rnacentral:rRNA from 1 species
UACAGAGGGGGCAAGCGUUGUUCGGAAUUACUGGGCGUAAAGCGUGCGCAGGCGGUUAUGCAAGACAGAUGUGAAAUCCCCGGGCUUAACCUGGGAACCGCAUUUGUGACUGCAUAGCUGGAGUACGGCAGAGGGGGAUGGAAUUCCGCGUGUAGCAGUGAAAUGCGUAGAUAUGCGGAGGAACACCGAUGGCGAAGGCAGUCCCCUGGGCCUGUACUGACGCUCAUGCACGAAAGCGUGGGGAGCAAACAGG